rnacentral:tRNA from 1 species
CGGGGUGUAGCGCAGUCUGGUAGCGCACCUGAAUGGGGUUCAGGUGGUCGCCGGUUCAAAUCCGGCCACCCCGA